AUUCCAUGGAUCUAAUUCAAUGGAUCAAUUAACAAAGUAGUACAUAAGCAAUACCAAAGUUGGAAGACGUCCGAACUUCUGCUAGUUUUAAGUAAUAUUCCCACCUAAACACAUACUUUGUAUAGAAUGCCCAAAGUGGCAAAAAUAAUAAAAUCAAGUCAAGGUUCAGUUGUUAGUAGUAUAUAUAUUAUGAAAAUCUGUAAAUGAAAAGGUACGGUCUGAAAGUGACUAUCUCUCUUCUUCAGCAAGAAUUAUAUGAACCAAAUCUAAGUUGUCCUAUUUCACUAUUCACACAAGAAUAUAUCCAUCCUUUAAUUACUGUCAACGAUUCGAAGGACUCAAGAACAGUAAGAUGGAAACUCCUUCAACUGAUGAAACUUAAGGUGUCCUAUUCGUGGUCUAAAAUAACGACUUUAUAUCCAACUUUGAGCUAAUCACAAUAUCAAAUCUAUAUACAGUUCCUAAGGAAAGAUAAAUGACAAUUCAACUGUAAUAAAAUAAAAAAACCAGGAAAUUAGCAUGGGUACACUUACAACUCAAAGAGGACAUUAUGAUAAAUACAUAUCACGGCAUUAAACAAGGAUGAAAGAAGCAUAUUAAAUUAAUCAUGAACUAAUGUCUGUCAAUUAAACUUCGAAGCAUUUCAUUUCCAUUUUCUCGAAUCAAAUUUGAAGGUCACAUUUGUAUGAAUUUCAGAGGUGUGUACAUGGAAGUAAAAUGAAAGGAAGAAAAGUGAGGGUCAGUAGCACAGCAACAGCAGCUCAGCAGUAAACCAGAGAUAGUUGAAUCCAAUAGUAGUCAAGAAUAAUUGAAAAUUCAACCAAACAUCCAAUGAGAUUAACUCAACGCUAAUGAAAACAACAACUCUGUUUGCAGAAUUCAGAACAGUCUUUCUAAAAAGAUCGAAUUCAAACCACUUCAAAUCCCUCAAUGAAUUCCAAAUUGUUUCAGCUAAUGGGAGCAAAGACACUAUUGUAACAGUAUAAGAUUGCAACUAUUUGUAUUUUUAGCUCUUCUCAACUCUUAGUGUGUCUAAUUUCUCAAACUCAAAGUGUUUUUCCAGGAAGCUCUCUCUUGUAUCUCUCUAUUGAACUCUCAAUUUCUCUUGACAGAUUGUGUUUUUUUAAGUGUUAAAAUGACUCUUAUUUAUAUAAAACAAGACUCUCUUCCUCCUUCCUUUAAUUAUUAUCACUACCCUUGUAUCAUUACCCUUCCCAUUACCCCUUACUUUAGUAUCCAGCCCCCAAAUAUGCUCUUCUAUGUGUGCCUUUUCAGCUUUUUAUCAUUAAGAUACUAUUCCAAAUUCCAAUCAGCCAAACAUUCUCAUUACUUAGUGGUCUCCCACUACUCAUUAACUUAAAUUAAAGCUAUUUAGGACCCCACUGGACAGACCCCUUAGUCAAACUUAUUUCCCACUUUUGAACUUCCUAAAACACCCUUAAAUCCUACUGUUACUGCACUAAUCCAUAAUACAGAUUCCAAAAUCUGUUCAAACCUUAAAAAUUAUCUAAUACUAAAGUUUAAUUAUCAACUAUAACCAAUUCUCCUAUUAUCUUAAACUAACAGUUCAGGAGCAGACACUCAAAUCAUAUCAAAUGGCAUAAAAUAUAGGACCAAUGAAACAGGGCAAAGACCUUAUUUGACUAACAAGAUCAGAUUUAUGAUAUAGAUACGUAGGCUGACCACACUUGAAAUGAAGUACAUUUCUAAAUUAACAUCAGGCAAAACAGAUUAAACGUGAUGAUAUUAAAAUAAUAGGAAAACAACUUGGGAAUUUGUUAUGGAUUCAACACACAUGAUCUUGAACACUAAUUAAUUUGGAACCAAACAUGCUAAGAUCAAAGAGACCAAACACACAUACUAACAUUUUUUAGAAAUCAAGUGGAAGAAACAACCAGAAAAGCUUAAAGAGAUCGACAAAUUUAUGAACAAACAAACAAACAAUUCACAAUAUUUGAGCGAUCAAACCAUUUGAUUCAAUGACUACUGACUAAGAGAUUCAAACGUUGUGACGAAUUAAUCUUCGUAUGAACUGGCUUAAUUCAAACAAACACAGAAGCAGAAAUAAAUCAGGAGGAGAAAGGUACUAUAACUUAAAACAAAAACUACAAAAUCAAAAGAAAGGGGAAUUGAAGGGGAAUUGAAAAAUACCCGAGAAUCAAGCGGACCAAAACUGAAGAGCUCCUCGUCCCUUAAUUUUGGACUGAAGCGGACCUUAAUCGUGUGUUUCCAAUACGGAAACAUAUGACUAAAGUCUAAUUCAGUCCAAAACUCCUCACAGCGCGUCGAAUGUUUUUAAAUUUAGGGCUCAUUUUUCUGUGGUUCACUACUCGAAGGAUUUGGACAACGUUUGAGGGAAGUUAAGGAUGUAUUUGGGAUGAUGGGGUCAAAGAGGUCCUGAGAUGUGAGUGUGGGAUUGUUCAGAGGCAGCGCCGCCACCGGGGAUCUUGUGGCAGCGGCUAGGGUUCUUAACUAAAAAUUGAGAUUCGAGGUAUCCGGGCUCGAUUCGAAAGGAGGUCAGCAUGGGAUUGGAAUGGGGAGAUCAUGGGGGUUCGAUGGUCUAAAGAACAGGGCGUUUGGUCCAUCGGAACCGCCGUGAGGCGAUUUUCGAUGGCGGAAGGCAGUGGUUUGCGUCGGCGUUACUUGGGUCGUUUAUGAGGUUAGACGAGAGGAGUGAGGGGGUCUGAUUUGGUCUUGGGGGUAGGGUAUUGGUAUUUGGUAUAUUAUAAUUAGAGUCUUAAUCCAAGCUGUUGGAUUAUACAUCCAACGGCUAAGAUCAAGUGAACUAAUCUGAAAUGGGGUCGUUUAAGGUAACAUAGGGGCGGGUUGAGAGAUGGUAACGGGUCGGGUUAGGAAAUGGGUAGGCGAGGUUUAAUCUUGGUCGCUGACCAAUUGAGAUCAACGGGUGGGAUGGGCCGUGCCGGAACGGCGUCGUUUGGGACGUCUGUGAGGCUAUGGUUAAUUGGACGGGUAGGGAUAAGGGUUUUGGACCUGAUUUUGGUUAAAGUGGGAUGGCCCAAUCCGAUUUUCUUCAAUUCUCUUCUUCAUUUUAAUUCCUAAAAUAAUUAAAAGACAAAAU
rnacentral:lncRNA from 1 species